UCUGAUGAGAAAUCGACUGGCAGGAAUGAUUUUUCAUCGAAUAGAAUUGUGAAAAACACCUUGAGGAUUGAUUCUAAACAACGUUUGCCAUGUUUCUGUCGAUAUUAUGGAGCUAAUUUGGAAAAAAGUUUUUCUUAGCCAAACGUGAUGAACAAAACUGAGCUAUUUCUCUUACACAAACAAUCUUUUUGGAAAAAAUGAACAUUUGCUAUCUAACUGAGAGUCUCGUCAUUGAAAACAUCCGAAGUUCUUCAAAGGAAGAAGAAAAUAAGGAAGAUCCAGAGCUGACUGACCCAUGUGGACUUACGGAUGAUGAACUCAAGGCCAAACUGCUCAAAUAUUUAGUCGAAGCUAGACCCAUUGUAGCCACCACCAGGUCUAUCUAUGAGAGGAAGCUAAAAGGCUACUAGAACCUACCCAGCCCAGACAGAAUGGUGGCACAGGAUAUGCAAACCAGUACUAUGACAGUGAAGAAGAGGAGGAAGAGUGGGGUUCAGAACAAGGAAGACCAGAGCAGUGGAGGAAUAUCAGCAUGCUAAUGAUCAGAUUGAGAGUCAAAGCCCUCUCUCCAGUAGUAGAACACAGAAGCACAAUAGGAGUAAAAUUCUGGUUUCUUGGCCAAGGCCCCACCAGUUCAUACACUAGAGCUACAGUAGCAGACUGGCGGCUCCUGGCAGAGCUACACUGUAUACUUUAUUAUCCUGUUAAUGGUUUUACCAUCACUGAGCAGGUCACAGAUGUCCUGAUGGAGAUGUUCCCAGAGACAGAACCUACACGCACUGGCAUUGCGUAAAUCCAGUUUCCCAUAAAACAACACUACACAUACAGAAGACUAACAAUUAGGGAAGAGUCACCAUUUAUAAGUGCCACCCGUUGGAGAACUAUCAAGGGUGCAGCGAGGCGACCAGUCCAGUUUAAAUUCCCAGAUCUCCCUGCCAGUCUCAUGACCCUACAGAGACAGGCAUUGGAGAGCCGCCUGGUGCCUCUGUUGGUCUAGAUCCUGGUCUUCCUCAUCUUGACUUGCCUCUUCUACCUCAUCUACGCUGCCAUGGAAUACAGCUUGGACCAACCCUCUGUGGCCUUGCUGGACAACCUCAGUAUGGGGACGGAGACUCCAGCCUGACCCCUAGGACUCAUCUGUACACCCUCUCUAGGGAGUAGUAACUCCCCUGCUCUAGCUAUGUGUCCUGAUUCUCCACCCUUCUCUUAAAGGGAGAAAUAUUUUCUUGCAUGGAUUUAAUAAUGGAUAAAACUUAAUCCGGCCAAUGCUUAUACCAAUCCUAAACUUUCAAAUCCGUGAUGAGAAGUAGUGCACCCUUCAGGAAAGAUAUGGACAUUCGGGAUACUCCACAAAUUGUUUUAGUUGUUGUGAGGCUAUUAAUUUGGUUACCGUAAUUCACCUUUACUCUCUGGAUUAAGUCACUCUUAACCAAGCAAGAUAGCCAUUAUAAUACUGUUUUUUUUGGAAAAUGUUCAGGUGAAACUACUGUUCAAAUAUAUACUGUGAUGGUGGAAGUGCAGAAAAUAAAAUGUGAUUUAGCCUAAUUUAGAGAAAUAAUAACAGUUUGAGAUUUGUGUAACUUAAUG
ensembl:lncRNA